rnacentral:lncRNA from 1 species
UAGCCGGAGUAGACGGAGCCGCAGUAGACGGAUCCGCGGCUGCACCAAACCACUGCCCCUCGGAGCCUGGUAGUGGGCCACAAGCCCCCAGUCCCAGAGGCGUGAUUUUCUGGCAUCCUUAAAUCUUGUGUCAAGGAUUGGUUAUAAUAUAACCAGAAACCAUGACGGCGGCUGAGAACGUAUGCUACACGUUAAUUAACGUGCCAAUGGAUUCAGAACCACCAUCUGAAAUUAGCUUAAAAAAUGAUCUAGAUUCAUGGAGCCUGCAUUAACUCAAUUGGUUAGGAACCAGAAAUCUAAUCCAGCGCCUUCAUAUUAUAUAUAAAGAGUCUGAUUUCCAGAGAUAAAUGACUUGAGCAAAGACAGAUUAUUUGGUGGAGAACCAGGUGGAGAACCUUGUCACUUGGAAAAAGGAGAUGUAAAGUCAAAGACUGAAGCUUUGAAGAAAGUAAUCAUUAUGAUUCUGAAUGGUGAAAAACUUCCUGGACUUCUGAUGACCAUCAUUCGUUUUGUGCUACCUCUUCAGGAUCACACUAU